AUUGAACGCUGGCGGCAUGCCUUACACAUGCAAGUCGAACGGUAACAGGUCUUCGGAUGCUGACGAGUGGCGAACGGGUGAGUAAUACAUCGGAACGUGCCCGAGAGUGGGGGAUAACGAAGCGAAAGCUUUGCUAAUACCGCAUACGAUCUCAGGAUGAAAGCAGGGGACCGCAAGGCCUUGCGCUCACGGAGCGGCCGAUGGCAGAUUAGGUAGUUGGUGGGAUAAAAGCUUACCAAGCCGACGAUCUGUAGCUGGUCUGAGAGGACGACCAGCCACACUGGGACUGAGACACGGCCCAGACUCCUACGGGAGGCAGCAGUGGGGAAUUUUGGACAAUGGGCGCAAGCCUGAUCCAGCCAUGCCGCGUGCAGGAUGAAGGCCUUCGGGUUGUAAACUGCUUUUGUACGGAACGAAAAGACUCUGGUUAAUACCUGGGGUCCAUGACGGUACCGUAAGAAUAAGCACCGGCUAACUACGUGCCAGCAGCCGCGGUAAUACGUAGGGUGCGAGCGUUAAUCGGAAUUACUGGGCGUAAAGCGUGCGCAGGCGGUUAUGUAAGACAGAUGUGAAAUCCCCGGGCUCAACCUGGGAACUGCAUUUGUGACUGCAUAGCUAGAGUACGGCAGAGGGGGAUGGAAUUCCGCGUGUAGCAGUGAAAUGCGUAGAUAUGCGGAGGAACACCGAUGGCGAAGGCAAUCACCUGGGCCUGUACUGACGCUCAUGCAC
rnacentral:rRNA from 1 species